AACAAAAAACACACCCCACACUGACUCUGGGCUUGCUUCUUCUCUGUGAACCACCCCAUCUGAGUCAGAGGAGCGACUGUAAGCAGAAGCCCCAAGAGAAAGGCGGGGAUGGUGGUAAACCUGGCAAAACCACGUGAGGAGCAGGGCUUGGAGGUGACUGACAGCAACCACUGGAAAGUCAACGGCCAUGGCAAGCCAGGGAGUGAUGCAGCCCCAUGACCCCUGCAACAAAGCCUGUUCCAAAUAAAUGCCAGCAGCACAGAAACCA